rnacentral:rRNA from 1 species
GUGGAAACAGGGGCUAAUACCGGAUAAGAAAGCAGAUCGCAUGAUCAGCUUUUAAAAGGCGGCGUAAGCUGUCGCUAUGGGAUGGCCCCGCGGUGCAUUAGCUAGUUGGUAAGGUAAAGGCUUACAAAGGCGAUGAUGCAUAGCCGAGUUGAGAGACUGAUCGGCCACAUUGGGACUGAGACACGGCCCAAACUCCUACGGGAGGCAGCAGUAGGGAAUCUUCCACAAUGGACGCAAGUCUGAUGGAGCAACGCCGCGUGAGAGAAGAAGGUUUUCGGAUCGUAAAGCUCUGUUGUUGGGAAGAAGGAUAGAGGUAGUAACUGGCCUUUAUUUGACGGUAAUCAACCAGAAAGUCCCGGCUAACUC